rnacentral:lncRNA from 1 species
CGAGGCGUAGGAGUAACCACCAUGCCCAGCACUGUUACAGAGGCUCACUGACAGACCUGAGUAACUGAAAUGUAAAGUACUAUGAACAAGUUGCUGAGCCUGAGGACCCACUCCUCUGACUUUCUGUGCUACUGCUGUAGCGUAUGUAUUCCCACACCCCCAAAAUAAAUGAAAUGUAUUAAAAAGCCUUUAUUAUUUUGGGAAAGUAAGGUAAACAGUUUUCCUACAGUUUUCCACCCAGCACAAAAGCAGUCAAACAAAAUAAACUGGUAACUUUAGCCCUUGAUGGCAGAAGGUAUAUAGCAAGUUCAAGGCCAGCAUGCAAUACUCGAGACUCCUCUCAAAACAAAGCGGACAGGAGCUUGUAAAGGACCCAGACUGGAUUCCCAGCAUUCACUUUGGUCAACUUAGAGGCACCUGCACUCAGACACAUACACAGAGAUACAAAUCUUAAACACUGAGGACAUGAGGCUAUGGCAGAGCACUUAGCGUGCAUACAGCCCUAGGUUUAAUCUCCAUUACCAUAAUUUUAAAAGGUGGGGUUCCCUGUGGCAGUAGUACAGCUUUUGAUACUUUGGAUUGCUUAUGAUUUCCCAAAAGGCCUUUUACUUUUCUCUCUGUUUACUUAUUUUGGACCCGUACUAUGGAAGCUGAUAAACAUAAAUUUCAAAGAUUCCUGACUGCUGAUGCGGCCUUAGUGGUGACAGUAUUUGCACCAAUCACGUUCCCUCCUGCAUCUGUGCUGCUUUUCAAGCAGAGGAGAAAUGGAAUGCACAGCCUCAUUGCUACAGGCCAUCUGUUUUCAGUGGAUCCAGACAGGAUGGUCAUAAAGAGAGU